rnacentral:rRNA from 1 species
UACGGGGGGGGCAAGCGUUGUUCGGAAUUACUGGGCGUAAAGGGCUCGUAGGUGGCCAACUAAGUCAGACGUGAAAUCCCUCAGCUUAACUGGGGAACUGCGUCUGAUACUGGAUGGCUUGAGUUUGGGAGAGGGAUGCGGAAUUCCAGGUGUAGCGGUGAAAUGCGUAGAUAUCUGGAGGAACACCGGUGGCGAAAGCGGCUCUCUGGAACGGUACUGACGCUGAGACGCGAAGGCGUGGGGAGCGAACAGG